rnacentral:tRNA from 1 species
UAAGACCUGUGAAAUUUUAAUUCACAUCUUCUGAAUGCAACUCAAACACCUUCAUUAGGCUAAGACCUUGCUGAAUAGGCGGGCCUUGAUCCCACAACAAAUUAAUU